AAGCACACCUUUUUCUUUCUUUCUUCUUCCCUAAGAGGGUUUUGUCUUUGGAAGCUUGGAUCCUUGAUUUACCUUUGACGAGAGAGCACCUUUCUUACUCCUUUUUGUUAUUUGGGGUCGUGUGCAGUAGGUGGUGACCUGUUGUGUGGUGGUUGAGUGGUAAUGGAAAAACUCUCAUCUUGGACUCAAAGCCAUUUCAUUUCCCUACCUUCCUCACAAAGUUUGUUGCUUGGUUUGCAAAGAUAAGGGAUAGAUUUAUAAAGUAUCUGACAUACGAGGAGCAAAUGGAUUAGUGGUGACUCUGCAUCUUUGGAGACUUCAUGGAUGUGCAAAUCUAGAUGUGAAAUUUCUUUAUCUAUUUUUGUUUU